rnacentral:rRNA from 1 species
AAUCAACGCUGGCGGCGUGCCUCAGACAUGCAGGUCGAACGAUUAAAGCUCUCUUCGGAGAGUGCAUAAAGUGGCGCACGGGUGAGUAACACGUAAGUAAUCUACCUUCGAGUGGGGAAUAACGUCCGGAAACGGACGCUAAUACCGCAUAAUGCAGCGGCACCUAAUGGUGACAGUUGUUAAAGGAGCAAUCCGCUUGAAGAGGAGCUUGCGGCAGAUUAGGUAGUUGGUAAGGUAAUGGCUUACCAAGCCUGCGAUCUGUAACCGGUCUUAGAGGACGGUCGGUCACACUGACACUGAAUAACGGGUCAGACUCCUACGGGAGGCAGCAGUCGGGAAUUUUGGGCAAUGGGCGAAAGCCUGACCCAGCAACGCCGCGUGAAGGAUGAAGUAUUUCGGUAUGUAAACUUCGAAAGAAUGGGAAGAAUCAAUGACGGUACCAUUUAUAAGGUCCGGCUAACUACGUGCCAGCAGCCGCGGUAACAC